rnacentral:lncRNA from 1 species
AAGAUGGUUCUGAUAGGCUACUUGGGGGCCAUGCACCCCCGGGUGAGAAUCACUGGUGGAAGGGGUAGGGGGAUAGAGAUGGAAGAAAAGGAAGAUGCAGUGUCCUGAAAGAGAGCUGUCAGCUCAGCAGCAAUUCAGAGUGAAUGGGCACCCUUUUUUCAAGAUGGGUAGGCAGAAAUGAGGGCAGAAGACAAAAAGCAUUGGGUGGGGGGGACAGGAACAUCAAGAGGUAGUUGACACUCUCUGUGAGACUUUCAGGAACACUGUCAAACAAACAGCAUGAGAAGAAGGAAACCAUUUCCAGGGAGCCAUGAUUGUGGAAUUCUAGAAGGAACUUACAUGGACUGCUGGGUAUACUAUAAAAGCAGUUGGUGGCAAAGAUAGGAGCAUGGUUUGAACAAUGGGUCUGGAGGACACAGGAUUAACAACAACCCUAGCUCAGAAGAUGGUUCUGAUAGGCUACUUGGGGGCCAUGCACCCCCGGGUGAGAAUCACUGGUGGAAGGGGUAGGGGGAUGGAGAAGGCUACAGAGAAGGAAGGGUGAGCAGAUGGAGGAGGCAUCAGAGUCAUGACUGUCAGACUUGGGAGGAAAGGUCCUGCUGGUGCAGGGGGAUGACAGUGAGCAGCAACUGGAUGCAGUGCAGAAGGGAGGUGGGAGGAAGGGUGAGAGCUGUGAGAGGGUUUCCUGUCAGGGGCAGGGAGGGCACUGCCAACUGUGCUUCCUGCUGAGGACUGAGGUGGGGCAGUGAGGCUGAUAGAGAUGGAGGAUGCAUAGAGGUGAAAGGUGUUUAUAGCUAGUUGUAUGUAGGAAUCAAAGGCAGGUAAAAAUGGAGCCAGUGAUGUAGGGAAGCUCAUGGAAGGAGAUGAGUGCUGAGGAGUAGAAAGAAAAUUCAGGGACUAGAGUCCCCAGGGAGAGAGCUUCAGUUCAGCAGCAUUAAGACAGUGUGGAAGAUCACGGUCAGAGUCAGAGGUUCCCUGAGAGCUUCAUCAGAUGUGAAUGGAAGGAUGUGAAAAGAAGCAGCACAGGUCACUGGGAGCCAUGGACACAGUUAGUUCUAGAAGGACCAUGAAGUCUGGGCCAGAGAGACUGCUGGGUAGAGGGUGCAGACUUGGUACAAUCAGUCGGAUGCAGAGAGACCCAAGUCAGGUGAAGCAGUGGGUGUGGAGGACAGGGGGCAUCGGAAGAAGCUUCAGGUGUUGAGAGGGUGACUCUGCUUCUCUGAGCAGUGGAAGGUAGAGCAGGAGAAAGGGUUAACUGGGACCCAGGAGAAGUGUGAGGAAGUUGUAAUAGGUGGGAGGGAGAGCAUGAGAGGAGCUGGGAGAGAGGAGGGUGCAGAGGGGCUCAGAGGAAUGAACCACACCAAGAAGGUAGACUCAGGCCUUAGAAAAGAGAAAAUGAGAUAUUUAAUUCAGCUGUAAAACUAUGGUUCUGGCAAAAAAGAAAAACAGUGCCUAUAAAAUAACUGUGAGUUCUAUGUCAUUGAUAACCAUGGACAAAUGUCUCAGACUGUGUUUUAAAAAAACAUGAUUUUCCCACAAUGGUAGACCUAAUCACCUAGACUUUUAUAGCUAGGUGAAGUUAGAGAGCACAUGGACUCAGUGGAGUUUGUCCUAAAUGCAGAGGUUGACAGUGAUGGGAGCAGUGAGUGGAAAUCAGGAAGUGAUCAGACAGGGCUAGAAAGACUUGGGAGUUCUCAUAUUGAUUGGAAGGUUCCAAGGAGUGUUGUUGAGGAGGAAGUAGGUAGCUGUAGAAUGCCAACAAACAUUUUGAAUCAAACUGGACAUACCACUAAUGCAAAAUGAAAAGGCCAAGAGAGGUUAAAACCAACAGAAGUUGUGGCUCACCCUUUAUAAUGGAGCCAGGGCAGGAAAGCAAAAGGCAGAAUUCAGGGUUUCCAAAGUGGGAGGUGGUAACGUAUCUCCAGGUUAAGCAAGGAAUGUUAGGCAGAUUUUCAAAGACUAAGCAGAGUUCUCUUCAUAAGAGAAGCAAGUCAGUAAGUAACCCAGCCUUUAUUUAGUGAAGAAACAACUUCACUAAUUUAGAAAACAGAAGAAUAUUAAAGACAAAAAAAAAAGAGAGAGAGAGAGAAAGUAGUAGGACUAUCACAUAGUUUAUUAUAAAAUCAGAAAAUUUGAGUUGGGUUUAGUGGCAAAAUGAUCAGAAGUUCACAGCCAACCUGGGAUACAGAGGAAGACCCUGUCUUAGAAAAAAAAAAAAAAAAAAAAAAAAAAAAGAAUGAAAGAAAAGAAAAAGGUUAAAAAAAAAAAAAGGAAAAAAUCAAAAGAAAGAAAAAAGAAAACAACAAAAAAAGAAAAAGACAAAAAAAAAAAGGAACUAUGAGAAUUGAAAGAAAAGUUGGACACAGGUUGAAUUAUAAUUAAUAUGGCCUACAACAAAAAUUCACAUAGCUCCAAUGGUAAAGGAGGCUAUUUGGCUCCCUAAAAGUUUCAUCAAGUAUCAAUGAACGGGUUGGGUAAGGGGAGUAAAUGGUUACAAAGAGAUGAGUUUGUAAGUGGCACAAUCUUCAGAAACCAGUAUCUUAGAGCCAAGGAUGUUUAUAGAUUGAGCAAAGAAAGUUAUAAUCAAUGAAUAAUAGUCUGAAGAAUACUGGAGGGCACAUAUCUUUUGAACUAUAGAAGAACUAAUUUUAAAUAUGCUAGUAGAAAAAAAUUAAGGAAGCCCAAAAUUAAACAAAAUAUUGUGUGUUAUUAUGUUUGGUACCAGGCGAUACUUAAACAAAUAAAAUAAUUUGUCCAAUUCACAGAUUUAGUAUGUGGUAGGGCCAGAAUUAAAAUUAUUACCUUUAUCUAUUAAACCCAUAUUCCUUUCUAAUAUGCUUUAUUAUUUUCAAGUUGAAAGAAAUCAUAAAUAAGAAUUUCUAUAUUUUCCUUGAGACUGUAAGGAAAAAUAUUUUUUCUGAGAUAAGAUAUGUUUUAGAAGUGACACGAUUCUGAAGUGACUGGUAAUUGUUAGAAUAUCUGCAAUGGGGAAAAGUUCAAUGUUAAAGAAAAGACAGACAGGAGGAUGGGCUCCAUUACCACCUCUGUCCUGGUAUUUCAUAUCGUUCAUUGCACAGUAGAGCUGAGAUUGGCUACAGGCUAAAAUUCAUGAAUUCUAAUAAAAAUAAAGAAUAGAAAGAAGAAAGCAUAUGGUAGGUCAAACACAAAAGUGAUGAAACAAGAUUGGAGUUUAUAGCCACAUUAUGCCACUGAUCAGAAAACCCUCUAAAUCUAACAUAAAGAAACAUCUCUAAUUGCCAAAUUUUCACAAACAAAAGCCAAAUAGUCCAUAGCCAGCAGAGCAAACAUUCAAACCUCUGGGCUAAUAACAUGUAAGAUCUGUUUUAAGAAGUUACCUCUCAGUGAAGAGAGCUGAGGUGAUGAUCUAUUCUCCCUCUCUUGGUGGAAGUGUUUAAUGUUACUAUUGUUUCCCUAUAUGUAACUGCUGUAAUUUCAAUAUCGUUGUUUUGUGUAUUUUGGUAUUGUAAAACUGUACUUAUUCUUUUAAUCCCAUUCCCUGGGGUGUGGGUCCCCUGAGUUAUCUAAUAUCAGAGUCCACCUGAGGAGCUAGUAUUGAGUAUAUACUGAGGAGCUAGUAAUCUCAACUGGGAAGGGCUGGAGUUUUCAAUGGGUUCAGAUUUGCUUCCUAUUGUAAUUAAGUGUAAAUUAAUGGCAUCCCUUAAAAAUUAAUAACACACAAGUUUAGUGAGAAGUACAGUGAUUGUGGAAGAAUUCUGAAGCAAUGAAAGAUGGCUAUUGGAAAAAACAGAGUCUCCCAGGAUGAUAGCAAAGACAUAGAGCUGCAUUAAGGCUGGACCCAGAUAUAAAUUUGGAACAGUAGCAAACAAAACUAGCUUUACUUGAGAGAACAGAAAGUUUAAAUACUGUCUAGCAUAUAUAUCAGAAGACCAGAGAAUAAAGUGAAACCACAAGGAAAUGGAAGUUGAGAGGAUUUUACAAAGGAAUAAACAAAGUUAUUAAGUUUAAAGACAGAUUACCAAAAGCUCAAAGGAGAAAUGUCAGAGUCCAGAUAGGAAAGUGCCUUCCUUCCCACCCAGGGUUACAGUUACAGAUCCAAGUGGCUGUACAACACAAACAGUUCCACUGGAUCAAAGGGAACAUCCUGGGAUUCAGACUCAGCAAUGGUGCCAACAUGAAUCUACCUCGUGCCAGAGUCUGAGUAGCCUAGUCUAGCACCCAACCCAGCUAAGAUUGGUCAGCAGUUCCCAUGAGUGAACCCUGAAGAAGGGAGUUAGGAGAAGAGGCUAUAAAUCAGAACACGCCCUCAGUGUAACUGAAUGAUGACCAGGGAACUAUUUACUAGUCCUUUUAUGAUCUCUUGUAAUUCUGUAACUUCUCUGAUGUUUGUUAAUAUUGUUAAUUUCUGUAUUUCAUGUACUUACAAGUAGUAAAAACUUUAAAUAUUAAUGGUCUAUGUGUGCUUAUUUCUGUGAAAGUUGGGUCAGUUCUGCAAUGAGUAUGGGAAAACUGAGUUGGGUGGAGGUUCAAGUGGGAUAGAUUUCAACAUUUAUAAAGGAU